UAUGUGGUUAUUGUGUAGAAUAAAUGUUAUAAAAGUGAGUUGACACAGACAAUUUAUUAGAGCAGCUGUCGAUGUGUGCAGGUCUGUUCAUCAAACGUGAUUUUAAUAAUUCUGCGUGACCCCAUUUUCACUGCCCGCCACUUUCCAGACACACGCAGCAUCUACAAGGGGCGACAUUUACUGCUCGCAGCAGCGGAUCUGAUUAACACGAGUUGUGUGGAAUCAGAGGUGCAUGCGGCUGCCCGCGGGAAAAAUUUGACAUCAGCCCAACACAGUUUGGAUAAUCAUAGGACUGUCAGAGGUUUACCAAACCUGUCAUGUGCAUGAUGGCUCCUGUUUGGACUUACUGAUGUCCUCGACUUCCAUCAAAACUGUAUACAUUAUUUGAGAUAUAUCAGAGACUCUUGUGGGACUGGACCUUAUGCAUCCUAAAUCUUCAUCAAAGUAUGCAGAUCUCCUUACUGAGUUGUCUUGGAUGAUUUCUCAAUAGGAUCUGGCAUUAUUAAUGUUUUUAUUUAUGUAUUGUGUAUGUGCAGCCACAUUAAUGGCCUGUUUUGUAGUCACUUUUAGGGACAUUGGUUGACAUUGAAUAAAUGCUAUGGUCUUUAA